UACGUAGGGUGCGAGCGUUAAUCGGAAUUACUGGGCGUAAAGCGUGCGCAGGCGGCUUUGCAAGACAGAUGUGAAAUCCCCGGGCUUAACCUGGGAACUGCAUUUGUGACUGCAUGGCUGGAGUGCGGCAGAGGGGGAUGGAAUUCCGCGUGUAGCAGUGAAAUGCGUAGAUAUGCGGAGGAACGCCGAUGGCGAAGGCAAUCCCCUGGGCCUGCACUGACGCUCAUGCACGAAAGCGUGGGGAGCAAACAGG
rnacentral:rRNA from 1 species